GACGAACGCUGGCGGCGUGCUUAACACAUGCAAGUCGAACGGAAAGGCCCUGCUUUUGUGGGGUGCUCGAGUGGCGAACGGGUGAGUAACACGUGAGUAACCUGCCCUUGACUUUGGGAUAACUUCAGGAAACUGGGGCUAAUACCGGAUAGGAGCUCCUGCUGCAUGGUGGGGGUUGGAAAGUUUCGGCGGUUGGGGAUGGACUCGCGGCUUAUCAGCUUGUUGGUGGGGUAGUGGCUUACCAAGGCUUUGACGGGUAGCCGGCCUGAGAGGGUGACCGGCCACAUUGGGACUGAGAGACGGCCGAGACUCCUACGGGAGGCAGAAGUGGGGAAUAUUGAACAAUGGGCGGAAGCCUGAUGCAGCAACGCCGCGUGCGGGAUGACGGCCUUCGGGUUGUAAACCGCUUUCGCCUGUGACGAAGCGUGAGUGACGGUAAUGGGUAAAGAAGCACCGGCUAACUACGUG
rnacentral:rRNA from 1 species